rnacentral:rRNA from 1 species
AACGGAGGUGGCUAGCGUUACCCGGAAUCACUGGGCGUAAAGGGUGCGUAGGCGGCCGCGUGUGUCUGGCGUAAAAUACCACGGCUCAACCGUGGGAAUGCGCUGGAAACUACGUGGCUUGGGUGCGGCAGAGGCAGACGGAACUGCUGGUGUAGGGGUGAAAUCCGUAGAUAUCAGCAGGAACGCCGGUGGAGAAGUCGGUCUGCUGGGCCGUAACCGACGCUGAGGCACGAAAGCUAGGGGAGCGAACCGG